UUCUUUCUUCUACUUUCUCUUUUUCUCCUUUUUUUCCUUUUCUGUUCCCAUAUUCCUCCUUACGUCUCUAUCUCUCUCUCUCUCUUAUCUUUAGACUAUUAUAUUUUCUAUUUUCUCUCUCUCCUUUCUUUCUUCUUAUUCAGUGUUUUAAUAUAGUUUCUUCCUCUCCUUUCCUUCCCUUUCCCUUAAUUCCUUUCCUUACCUCGAUCUCUCUCCCUCGAUCACCCUUUUAAUUCUUCCCUUUUCUCAAUAUCUCCCUUUUUCCCUCUUCUCUCUUCCCUUUUCGUAUCUUCUUUAUCUUAUCUCUCCCUUCCUUUUUUCCUUCACUCCUCCUGAUCUAUAGUCUGGACAAUAUAUAGGAUCUGUGUAGCCUGGAUAUCUAUGUAAAUCUAUGUAAAUCUCACUCUCCUUUCCUUCUCUCUCCCUCUUCCUCUAUUUCCCCGCUACAGACUCAAGGGGCAAGGUGACAGAGGUGAGCACAGGGGCCUCGCGCACCUUGCAGUAUGCCCCGCUGCCAGACGUAUGACGAACGUACGAGUGAUAGGUAGAUAUAGAUAGAUAGAUAAAUACAUAUGGCACAUCAGAAGGGAUAGAUAGAUAGAUAGAUAGAUAGAUAACUCCAUAUAGAUAAAUAGUCAAGAAAGAUCAAACUGUUCCUCUUGGAUUCUCUCUUUUCAUGAAUGUUAUACCGGUAAAUUAUGUAAAGCAAUUAUGAGGUUAAUUUUCUCCUUCAUAUAUAUUACAAUUCCCACUGCCUUCUAAUUUUUCAGGACUAUUUUGAUCCCUCACACUCAAAGCUCCCAUAUCUUUUCUUUUCUUGUUGUUUUGGGGGUUUUUCAAUAACUUUCCCUGGUUUAUAUACUGAGCGAGUCUUUUUACCAACUAUCUCUGGAGACAACCAUACAAAAUCCCCCUAUAAUUUCCCAAGCAGCUCAGUAAUAAUGAAUAAUAGCUGCUAGUCGGUAAAUAGCCACUCUCUUAUCCUUAACCCCUUGACUGCAGAUUUCCUACAAGAAGACCUCACCAAGCUGCAGGAAUGGAACAAAAAGUGGCUGCUACAAUUCAAUGAAGAAAAAUGUAAAGUCCUGCACCUUGGGAGGGGAUAUCCAGCAUACCAAUACCACAUGGGAAACACUCCACUAUCCACCACAGAGGGGAUAUCCAGCAUGCCAAUACCACAUGGGAAACACUCCACUAUCCACCACAGAGGCAGAGAAAGACCUGGGAUGAUAGGUUACCAGGCUACCAGUGAAGGCCAAAUCUGUGCCAAUCGCAGCAGACGGGUCAACACCAAACAGAGGGAAAUAACCACUUACUACAAAAUGGGCAGUGUAUUGUAUAAAAGGCCAUCAUAUACAUUAAUAGAGACAGAGAGAGAGAAUGAAGUGGGUAACAUAUGGUCAUAUCAGUCUGGUCAGUAUUCUCAGAUGCUUCCACCCCUCACAAGAACUAUUUCCAAAGGCCAAAAAAGAGAUCAAUCGGGUUCUAAUGCGUGUUUUCUUAGGUUCGUGGUACAGAAGAAGGGUCAAACUACCAUCAGGGUCUUUAAACUACUCCUGGAAGUGCCCACAACUCCUACGUAAGCCUUGUCAAAUAUGUGAUUCUUUAGGUUCAUGGUACAGAAGAAGGGUCAAACUACCAUCAGGGUCUUUAAACUACCCCUGGAAAUGCCCAGAACUCCUACGAAAGCCUUGUCAAAUAUGUGUUUCUUUAGGUUCAUGGUACAGAAGAAGGGUCAAACUACCACCAAGGUCUUUAAACUACCCCUGGAAAUGCCCAAAACUCCUACAAAAGCCUUGUCAAAUGGGUGUGCUUGGGCUCUGAAAUGUGUAAGAAUAUGACCCUGAGACCCAAACAUAAUCUCAAACAUUUUUGGGCUCACACAUCCACAGCAGAUAAAGCUUUUGGGGAGGUUGUGUGUGUGUAUUUCCAGGGUUAGUCUUAUGAGCCAAGGCAUGAAAUAUAUAUAGUAUGACAUGGCUUCUGGACUAUAAAUGUGGAAAAACACUCAUGAAAACCCAUCUUAUUUCCUUUGAGGCCCUCAGAAAUGUUUGUUAUGAGAUGAGUGUCUGGGAAUAUGGGACUGAGAACAACGUACAUUAUGUAGAAUCCAAGCUACUCAAGAUCCAUUCUAGAUGAUCUGGAUUUCCACAAGGCAACAAG